rnacentral:rRNA from 1 species
GACGAACGCUGGCGGCGUGCUUAACACAUGCAAGUCGAACGAUGAAGCUGGAGCUUGCUCCAGUGGAUUAGUGGCGAACGGGUGAGUAACACGUGAGCAAUCUGCCAUUGACUCUGGGAUAACUGCGGGAAACUGUAGCUCAUACCGGAUACGACACCUUGGGGCAUCCCGGGGUGUGGAAAGAAUUUCGGUCAAGGAUGAGCUCGCGGCCUAUCAGCUUGUUGGUGAGGUAAAGGCUCACCAAGGCGACGACGGGUAGCCGGCCUGAGAGGGUGACCGGCCACACUGGAACUGAGACACGGUCCAGACUCCUACGGGAGGCAGCAGUGGGGAAUAUUGCACAAUGGGCGAAAGCCUGAUGCAGCAACGCCGCGUGAGGGAUGACGGCCUUCGGGUUGUAAACCUCUUUUAGCAGGGAAGAAGCGAAAGUGACGGUACCUGCAGAAUAAGCACCGGCUAACUACGUGCCAGCCGCCGCAGUAA